rnacentral:rRNA from 1 species
AGUGAACGCUGGCGGUAGGCCUAACACAUGCAAGUCGAACGGCAGCACAGUAAGAGCUUGCUCUUACGGGUGGCGAGUGGCGGACGGUUGAGGAAUACAUCGGAAUCUACUUUUUCUUGGGUGAUAACGUAGGGAAACUUACGCUAAUACCGCAUACGACCUACGGGUGAAAGCAUGGGAUCUUCGGACCUUGCGCGAUUGAAUGAGCCGAUGUCGGAUUAGCUAGUUGGCGGGGUAAAGGCCCACCAAGGCGACGAUCCGUAGCUGGUCUGAGAGGAUGAUCAGCCACACUGGAACUGAGACACGGUCCAGACUCCUACGGGAGGCAGCAGUGGGGAAUAUUGGACAAUGGGCGCAAGCCUGAUCCAGCCAUACCGCGUGUGUGAAGAAGGCCUUCGGGUUGUAAAGCCCUUUUGUUGGGAAAGAAAAGCAGCAGGUUAAUACCCCGCUGUUCUGACGGUACCCAAAGAAUAAGCACCGGCUAACUUCGUG